rnacentral:tRNA from 1 species
GGGCCCAUAGCUCAGCAGGUUAGAGCACCUGACUCAUAAUCAGGGAGUCGCUGGUUCGAGCCCAGCUGGGCCCACAA